rnacentral:rRNA from 1 species
GAUGAACGCUGGCGGCGUGCUUAACACAUGCAAGUCGAACGAUGAAGCCCAGCUUGCUGGGUGGAUUAGUGGCGAACGGGUGAGUAACACGUGAGUAACCUGCCCUUAACUCUGGGAUAAGCCUGGGAAACUGGGUCUAAUACCGGAUAGGAGCGCCUACCGCAUGGUGGGUGUUGGAAGGAUUUAUCGGUUUUGGAUGGACUCGCGGCCUAUCAGCUUGUUGGUGAGGUAAUGGCUCACCAAGGCGACGACGGGUAGCCGGCCUGAGAGGGUGACCGGCCACACUGGGACUGAGACACGGCCCAGACUCCUACGGGAGGCAGCAGUGGGGAAUAUUGCACAAUGGGCGAAAGCCUGAUGCAGCGACGCCGCGUGAGGGAUGACGGCCUUCGGGUUGUAAACCUCUUUCAGUAGGGAAGAAGCGAAAGUGACGGUACCUGCAGAAGAAGCACCGGCUAACUACGUG